rnacentral:lncRNA from 1 species
UAGUGAGUAUCUCAGGUAGUUUAGAUUUCAGUUACGCUCGUGCUGGGAUGCCGAGUAUAUUUUUAUAGUAGCUUUCAGGCUGUUCCGGACUGUUGGGUGCCGUCGGGGUUGACGGUGGACCCGUAUCGUCUUUUGGUGACGGAUUGUGCCGAGGGCACGUGACCUGUUGGUGGUUAGACCAGUUAGAGUCGGUUACUUGAAUUUUGGUUUGAGAUAGAGUCUGAUUGAGCUC